CCUACGGGUGGCAGCAGUGAGGAAUAUUGGUCAAUGGACGAGAGUCUGAACCAGCCAAGUAGCGUGAAGGAUGACUGCCCUAUGGGUUGUAAACUUCUUUUAUAUGGGAAUAAAACGUUCCACGUGUGGGAUUUUGUAUGUACCAUAUGAAUAAGGAUCGGCUAACUCCGUGCCAGCAGCCGCGGUAAUACGGAGGAUCCGAGCGUUAUCCGGAUUUAUUGGGUUUAAAGGGAGCGUAGGUGGAUUGUUAAGUCAGUUGUGAAAGUUUGCGGCUCAACCGUAAAAUUGCAGUUGAAACUGGCAGUCUUGAGUACAGUAGGGGUGGGCGGAAUUCGUGGUGUAGCGGUGAAAUGCUUAGAUAUCACGAAGAACUCCGAUUGCGAAGGCAGUUCACUGGACUGCAACUGACACUGAGGCUCGAAAGUGUGGGUAUCAAACAGGAUUAGAUACCCCAGUAGUC
rnacentral:rRNA from 1 species